AUAAAAAAAUUCUUAAAACUUAUGUAACUAUAAGAUGGAGUUCAAUAAUAAUCUUCAGUAUAUAGUCUAUUUGCUGUGUUAAUAAUAAAUUUUUCAGAUUGUGAUGUGUAACUUCUCCCUUACUCCUCCCCUCCCCAAUUGAAUAAGGAAUUAAGAGUGUCAUAUAGGAUAAUGACUUUAUUGUUAAAACAGAAGUCCAGAGAGCUUGUUGCUUUGCACUGAGUUGUCUAUGGACUUUGGUUUGGUUCUUCUUUGGCCAGCACCAUUUGUUUGAGAGCUUGCAUGCUGUGACCAUGAAGCUAAACACAUGCCAUACCCCAUGCUAAACCUUGACACUGUACUGUCUUCAACUGAGUCACCAGCCAGACCAAAUAACUACUUCUUUGAAAGACUGGCUACCAAACUCUUAGCAGUUCUACCACAUAAGGCCUUCCCAGAUUAUAAAGACUUGCUUUGCAUACAUUCUGGUCAUGUCCGUGGACAGGUGAACUUUGCCUGCCUCCUGUCCCCUGCUCCACUUAGCAACCAAGCUGUCUUGGCUAUGCUAAUGUGUCUAAUCCAACACCUUUUCUGUCUAAGUUGAAGGACCUUUUAAUGUUAUAUUCUCUUCUUUUCCUGCCUCUUUUCCAGGUUAUAUUCUUGUUAAUACCAUACAUACUUCUGAUGACAUUUCUUCUGUGCUUCAAGUAAAUCUUGCUUUCUCUUUCUAAGCCUUUUUCUUUCUCCCUCUUUGUUCAGUUUAAGAGAGCUCUCCCAGUGGCGCUAGUCACUAUUCUUGGUAAGCUCAUGAAUAGUGAUAAAAAUACUAUCAAGGAAAAAGAACACAGUAUAUUUGGGGGUAAAAUGAAUUGUAGGCAAAUUCAGAGUAUUUUAAAGACAAGAAUAAGUUGAGCAUGAAUUUUGAAAUGAUGUAUCUCUUCAUUGUCACCCCUUCUUCAUAUGUGAUUGUUACCCCUUCUUUGUAUGUGAUUGUUACAGGUGAACAGUCUGCUUCCUUGUAGUCCUAUUUGUGUUAGGAUGACAUAGUGUGUAGUCAUCCUGAAACAAAGAGGAGAAGAGUUUGGAAGAACUUGUUCAUAAAUAUGCUGUUUUCUAAGUUGAGUGCCCCUUAUCCAGAAAGUUUCCUUAGAAAUAUUAUACAUAUUGAAGGAAAAGAUAAAGCCCUUUUUAUUAAAUUAAAAAGCAAUAUUCUUACUUGAUGAUGUUCACGUAACAUUUUUUUUUUUCAUAGUAUAAUGAUGAGGUUUCCCCCAGUACUUUGGACUGCUGGUAAACUGGUUAAAAUGGAGAGCAGAUAAUGGAAAACUACUCUGAUUUCAUGAAAGUUUGCACAAUCUUAGGCUGGAUAAAGAAGGAAUAAGAACAAGAAAUAUGGAAACAUCAUGUCAUUUUAGCUAUAUUUCCAACAAUAUUUCUCAAUUUCCUUUUAUUUUAUCCUUUAUGUUCAUAGGAUAAGGGGGGGGAGUGGAGGUUGGUAUAUAAAGCCAACACAAAAUCUUCCUUAGAGAAUGCAUUGCUGGAGUGCCCCCUUACUCCUGAGUUAGUGUAUUCAUGUAUGUCUGAAGGAAUUAAUUUUUGGUAAGGCUUGUUUGGCAAAGAAACUUGAUAACAGUACCUGGAACAAAGUAAGUAGUCAGUAAACAUUCGUGUCUCUUCUCCCUCAUUUUCCUCCUCUUGUUUUUAUCAGUGUAUUUUUUUGUUUUCCAGCAGUGGCAUCUUUUAAGGUAGUGUCUGUAUUUUUCAGGUUUUUGCAGCUUGAGCUUUUCUCUUUGUGGAAUGAUGGAAGGACAGCUAAGGAGGAAACACCAAGUGAAUCCAGAAUAGUUGGCCCUUUUCUGGAGUUACAGCCACAGAUUGUCCUCUUGAUCUUAUGCUCUAAGAAAAAGUUGAGGCUUUAGAGUCUUGUUGCUUCUGAUUUAAACAGUAAUCAAAGAAUAAAUAAUUGAAUAAUAAGGGAAGAUGGAAGCAGUUUUAAUCAGCUGUUCAGUUCCAUUAACUGGAAUGGUAGUCCUCAAAACUCAAAAGUAUUUAAGAAUCAGCUAGAGGGCUAGUUAAAAUGCACAUUCUUGGGCUCCACCCCAGAGAUUAUGAGUGCAGUCUUAGGUAGUUCUAAUGCAGAUGGAUCAAGCACUAUACCUUGAAAACCUCUAAUUCAAGAAAGAUGAAUUAUAGGUCUCAAUUUCUAGAUUGAUCACUAAUGUAGUACAAAGAUUAAAUUUCUUUUUAGAAUUUUUCAUCACUUCUUGGCAGAGUUUUCCACCCGUGGGGAGCUCCGAAACCGUGGCUCAGAAUUCUUGCUUUAAAAAUGUAUACCCUUUCUAUACCAUGUAUAACACUUAGGCAGUUAUAUAACAGGGAGAAACUUUGGCAGUAGUGUGAGAUUUAUUUGUAAGUUGCUAGUGUUGACAUAAUUAUUUUCUUUACUGGUAUUGCCUAAUGAAGCAGUAAGAUCUGACUGUGGUUUGUUCUCCCUGUGGUUUCUGUAGUGUAGGGAGGAUGCUGCAGAAAAACGGACGCUCUCUCGUUUUGACUCGCUCAGGAGCAGUGUGUGUCUGUUGUCUUUCUAAGGUGGGAUUUAAGAGGCAUGCCCCAAAAGUGGCAAAUCAGACUUCCACACGCAUUGCCUUCACUUAGCCAAUAGCUUGCUGAGGAUGUGUAUAUUACAAUGUGCAGUUUCAUUCAUCAAGGGGAUUUCAGGCUCCACCAGCAAACACUCUUGAGUCUUAAGUGAUUUCUGAGCUUUGGGCUUUGCAUUGACAGCACUAUAAAAAAAAGUAGGUACAUCUGGCUACUAGAAGAAUGGAUGGUAAUCCAGAUGUAUGGAGUUGGCUGUUCCAAGACAUACCUGACUGGGGAUGCCAUGUGAUACCACGAGGAUGGGCAGAGACUGUGCAGGCACACAUUUGGGCUGAUCACCUUGGCCUCCCAACCAUGCGGGAUGUGCUCAGUGUGGGAAGAUGGCCACAGAUAGGACCAUGGCACUUAGCAGCAUUGUUUCCUUGGAGUCCUUGUAAUGGAAUGUAUUUUUUAAAUACUGAUAUUUGAAUUUUCAGUAACAAUUCCUUAUAAUAAAAUGAGGUAAAAUUGUGUGUUUAAA